UGUUCUCGUCGCAUCAACUUU
rnacentral:piRNA from 1 species